UGAAACACGGUCCAGACUCCUACGGGAAGCAGCAGUAGGGAAUCUUCCCCAAUGGGCGAAAGCCUGACGGAGCAACCCCCCGUGAAUGAUGAAGGUCUUCGGAUCGUAAAACUCUGUUUUUAGGGAAGAACAAACGUGUAAGUAACUGUGCACGUCUUGACGGUACCUAAUCAGAAAGCCACGGCUAACUACGUGCCAGCAGCCCCGGUAAUACGUAGGUGGCAAGCGUUUUCCGGAAUUUUUGGGCGUAAAGCCCGCGUAGGCGGUUUUUUAAGUCUGAUGUGAAAGCCCACGGCUCAACCGUGGAAGGUCAUUGGAAACUGGAAAACUUGAAUGCAGAAGAAGAAAGUGGAAUUCCAUGUGUAGCGGUGAAAUGCCCAGAAAUUUGGAAGAACACCAGUGGCGAAGGCGACUUUCUGGUCUGUAACUGACCCUGAUGUGCGAAAGCGUGGGGAUCAAACAGGAUUAGAUACCCUGGUAGUCCACCCCGUAAACGAUGAAUGCUAAGUGUUAGGGGGUUUCCCCCCCUUAGUGCUGCAGCUAACCCAUUAAGCACUCCGCCUGGGGAAUACGACCCCAAGGUUGAAACUCAAAGGAAUUGACGGGGACCCCCACAAGCGGUGGAACAUGUGGUUUAAUUCGAAGCAACCCGAAGAACCUUACCAAAUCUUGACAUCCUUUGACCCUUCUAGAAAUAGAAGUUUCCCCUUCGGGGGACAAAGUGACAGGUGGUGCAUGGUUGUCGUCAGCUCGUGUCGUGAAAUGUUGGGUUAAGUCCCCCAACGAACCCAACCCUUAAGCUUA
rnacentral:rRNA from 1 species